AUUGAACGCUGGCGGCAGGCCUAACACAUGCAAGUCGAGCGGAUGAAGGGAGCUUGCUCCUGGAUUCAGCGGCGGACGGGUGAGUAAUGCCUAGGAAUCUGCCUGGUAGUGGGGGAUAACGUCAGGAAACGGGCGCUAAUACCGCAUACGUCCUGAGGAAGAAAGUGGGGGAUCUUCGGACCUCACGCUAUCAGAUGAGCCUAGGUCGGAUUAGCUAGUUGGUGGGGUAAAGGCCUACCAAGGCGACGAUCCGUAACUGGUCUGAGAGGAUGAUCAGUCACACUGGAACUGAGACACGGUCCAGACUCCUACGGGAGGCAGCAGUGGGGAAUAUUGGACAAUGGGCGAAAGCCUGAUCCAGCCAUGCCGCGUGUGUGAAGAAGGUCUUCGGAUUGUAAAGCACUUUAAGUUGGGAGGAAGGGCAGUAAGUUAAUACCUUGCUGUUUUGACGUUACCAACAGAAUAAGCACCGGCUAACUUCGUG
rnacentral:rRNA from 1 species